rnacentral:rRNA from 1 species
UACGUAGGGUGCGAGCGUUGUCCGGAAUUACUGGGCGUAAAGAGCUCGUAGGUGGUUUGUCGCGUUGUUCGUGAAAACCUGAGGCUUAACCUUGGGCGUGCGGGCGAUACGGGCAGACUGGAGUUCGGUAGGGGAGACUGGAAUUCCUGGUGUAGCGGUGAAAUGCGCAGAUAUCAGGAGGAACACCGGUGGCGAAGGCGGGUCUCUGGGCCGAUACUGACGCUGAGGAGCGAAAGCGUGGGGAGCGAACAGG